UACGUAGGGGGCAAGCGUUGUCCGGAAUCAUUGGGCGUAAAGCGCGCGUAGGCGGCCCGGUAAGUCCGCUCUGAAAGUCCAGGGCUUAACCCUGGAAAGCGGGUGGAUACUGCCGGGCUUGAAUCCGGAAGAGGCGAGUGGAAUUCCUGGUGUAGCGGUGAAAUGCGCAGAUAUCAGGAGGAACACCAAUUGCGAAGGCAGCUCGCUGGGACGUUACUGACGCUGAGACGCGAAAGCGUGGGGAGCAAACAGG
rnacentral:rRNA from 1 species